rnacentral:lncRNA from 1 species
GAGUCCCGCUUCUUCCCCUUCCAGCUCUGCCCCAUCUCCUUUGCCCCAGCCUAGCUCUCUCCUUCCUGCGACCUGGGAGAAUCGGAGUGGGCUUCCAGAGUAGUGGCAUCUUGCAGAUGCUGGCCCGUGCCCGGCUCCCGGGCUUCCAGAGCGCAAAGGGAAGGGUAGGCAGAGAGGGCACUGGGCGAGCAAGACCUGGCGCUGGGCCCUGGCUGCGCACCAGCCGCCUGCGCCGGUCUCUGGGGGCUUCGCCCAGGAUCCCCGACGGCGGGGAGGGGAAGCCCCGAGUCUCCUGUUUCCUGCCUACGCGGGCAGGGCGGGGACACGCGGAGCAAAGGCACCCGGCAACCUGAACCCCCAGGUGCGUCCCGCGACCCUGCAAGGAGCUGCUGGGACCCUCCGGUGGACAUGGGUGGGGCCCUGGGGCCGGCCCUGUUGCUCACCUCGCUCUUCGGUGCCUGGGCAGGGCUGGGUCCGGGGCAGGGCGAGCAGGGCAUGACGGUGGCCGUGGUGUUUAGCAGCUCAGGGCCGCCCCAGGCCCAGUUCCGUGCCCGCCUCACCCCCCAGAGCUUCCUGGACCUACCCCUGGAGAUCCAGCCGCUCACAGUUGGGGUCAACACCACCAACCCCAGCAGCCUCCUCACCCAGAUCUGCGGCCUCCUGGGUGCUGCCCACGUCCACGGCAUUGUCUUUGAGGACAACGUGGACACCGAGGCGGUGGCCCAGAUCCUUGACUUCAUCUCCUCCCAGACCCAUGUGCCCAUCCUCAGCAUCAGCGGAGGCUCUGCUGUGGUCCUCACCCCCAAGGUGCAUGUCCAAACUCAUGUCCCCUCGUGCCUCAGGCCUGGAACCAGGCUGGGGUCGGGGGUGCUUUGGUUCUGGGAAGCUGGGAUUAGACGGGAUGGGCAGGGAGGUGGGGGCUGAGGGCAUGAUGUGGGUGAUGGGGAGAUGGUUAUGGGAAUGACAUCCCAUGUUCUAGAGGAGAGAUAUUCUGGGCUGACCUCACAUUGUGUCUGGAUGAGGGGUGGGCAGGGUGCAGGCCCACCCUCUGGCUGUGGGGCUCAGGCCCCAGCCCUCCUCCUCUCUGCUUCCCUCAGCUUCCUAGGUCAGGGUGAAGACCCAGAGGGCCAGCCGGGCAUGGAGGUGGUGCCAUGCCCUCUGGGCAGUGGUAGUUGACCUGUAGGGUGAGCACCAGGGAACCCUGGGAGCCCUGGGGGAGGCAGAAACGGCCCUGCCCUUGCAGGGCUCAGGGGAGAACGUUCCAAACACACAUUCAUCAGCAGUUACAACUAGGACAAGCGUUCUGAAGGAAAGACACAGGAUGCUGUGAGGGAGCUCACUCAUGGCUCAUGCAUAGGGUGUUGGCCAGGGAAAGUCUCUGGAGAAAUGAUGUCUAGGCUGAGGGCCUAAGGGCGAGCCGGUGGGGAGGGGGAGAGGCCCAGGCAGAGAAGCAGGUGGGAUGAAGGCCCCAAGGCGAGGAAGGAGCUCAGAGCUUUGGAGGAAUAGAGGGAAAAGCCUGGAGAAGGAGGCGGGGGCCUGGCCACCUGGGAAGACAUUUGGGCUUUUCCCUAAGCAAGUGAGCAGACAGGGCAGCGCAAGCCGGCUGUGACAGUGGCCGUGGUCUGUGCCUGCCUUAGCCCUGUGAGCUUCCUGGCCCUGCCCCUGUUGAUCUAGCCACUCAGGGAAGAGCGGAGGAGAGUUGAGGGAAGAGACUGAUCUGAUUCGCCUUUGUUUCAUUAAUUUUUAUAUGAAGAAUUUUGAGUAUACAUUAAAAAGUAUAAGGAAGACUCAUAUAUCCCCCAUUCGCCCUGGCCAUCCACCCCAGCCUCACCAGCACCCCCUUCCCCUUCUUCUGUGUUAAUUUGAAUCAAAGCCCAGGCAUCCUCUUAUUCCAUCCAUAAAUAUUUCAGUAUGUAUCCCUGGCAGAUAAGGGCUUAAGAACGUAAAACCACCAUACAUUAUCACGUCUAAAAAAUAAUAAAAA